rnacentral:rRNA from 1 species
AGUACGAGAGGACCGGAGUGAACGCACCACUGGUGUUCGGGUUGUCAUGCCAAUGGCAUUGCCCGGUAGCUAAGUGCGGAAGAGAUAACCGCUGAAAGCAUCUAAGCGGGAAACUUGCCUCGAGAUGAGUCUUCCCUAGGACUUUAUGUCCUCUAAAGAGCCGUUCGAGACUAGGACGUUGAUAGGUUGGAUGUGGAAGCAUAGUGAUAUGUGAAGCUGACCAAUACUAAUUGCUCGUGAGGCUUGACUAUACAACACCCAAGCAGUUG